GGGCUUCGGCCCUGGGGACAGCGGCGAACGGGUGAGUAACACGUGGAUAACCUGCCCUCGGCACCGGGAUAGCCCGGGGAAACUCGGAUUAAUACCGGAUAGCCCUUUCGGCUUUCGAGCCGGUCGGAAAAGGUAGCUUCGGCCUCUGGCCGAGGAUGGGUCCGCGGCGGAUUAGCUUGUUGGUGGGGUAAUGGCCUACCAAGGCACCGAUCCGUAGCUGGUCUGAGAGGACGAUCAGCCACACUGGGACUGAGACACGGCCCAGACUCCUACGGGAGGCAGCAGUGGGGAAUCUUGCGCAAUGGGCGAAAGCCUGACGCAGCGACGCCGCGUGAGGGAGGAAGGCCUUCGGGUUGUAAACCUCUUUCAGGAGGGACGAAGCUACUCGGGUGAAUAGCCCAGAGGGUGACGGUACCUCCAGAAGAAGCCCCGGCUAACUACGUGCCAGCAGCCGCGGUAAUACGUAGGGGGCAAGCGUUGUCCGGAUUUACUGGGCGUAAAGAGCGUGUAGGCGGCCAAACAGGUCCGUUGUGAAAACUGGAGGCUCAACCUCCAGACGUCGACGGAAACCGUGUGGCUAGAGUCCGGAAGAGGAGAGUGGAAUUCCUGGUGUAGCGGUGAAAUGCGCAGAUAUCAGGAAGAACACCAAUGGCGAAGGCAGCUCUCUGGGACGGUACUGACGCUGAGACGCGAAAGCGUGGGGAGCGAACAGGAUUAGAUACCCUGGUAGUCCACGCCGUAAACGAUGGGUGCUAGGUGUGGGAGGUGUCGACUCCUUCCGUGCCGUAGCUAACGCAUUAAGCACCCCGCCUGGGGAGUACGGCCGCAAGGCU
rnacentral:rRNA from 1 species